UCACAAAUUUUGUUUUUCUUCACAAAGUUUUGUUUAUGUUAAGUCAAUUUAUAUCUUGGUUAAAACAACUUUGUGUAUUUUCCAUUAAGGCAACAGACGAUUUUUUUUGAAGAAUGUAAUUGUUAUCUUCUUUAUAUGUCUUAGUUUUUUCUUCUAUGUGUGUCUUUAAAAUAUCUCAGAAAGUUAAGGUGAUCUUUUGGAAAUAGAUCACUUAUUUUGGCAGAUAUGUAUUCAAUUUUUAGUAAUGUUAUACGUGUAAACAUGUCUGACAUGUGAACCCCCUGUAAACACUUGGGAUACUUAUGAUGUUACACGUUAAGUUUAGUCUCAGCUCCAUGACAUACUCUCCAUGAAACAUGGAUAAUGUAGAUCUCUUCAUGACAAGUAGGGUACACUGUGCUGCACAGAUCUGGCCUUGAUUUACUUUUGAAGAUACUUGAUAUCUUUUUAUAGGGACUGAUUUGGUGUUGAUAUGUUUGAGUUUCCUAUAUAUAUUUUAAUGAGGCAAAUGCAAAUAGUUUCUUGUAUACUUGGAUUCACCCAAAAAACAUGGAAAUGUUCUGCAUAGAAAUAUUAUUGUAGCCAUUCUCAGUUGCUGUAUUGAUAUCAAUGUAUUCAUGUAAAAUAAUUCAAAGUAAAAUUGUCAUGAUUUCUGUGCUUGGUGUCAGGUGUGAAUCCAAACAAAUGCUUCAGAAAUUUAAAUGAACUUUAAGAUAAAUAUACCCAAAUUAUGCUUUUACAUUACAAUUUGUGUGCAUCCACAGUGUUAAGAAAUAUUAAAUAUUAAUAUUAUCAUUGCCAAUUAAGUUUCAUUUCACCAUAAACUAUUCUUUCAAAUAUGGUUUUGUUAUCAAUAUAUUGUACAUAUUAAUAAUAUUUUAAAAUAUAAUAAUCUUAUUAACACAAAUUCUAUUUAAUUUAGAAAAAAUAUAUUCCUAUUUACAGACAUUGUGUAGUAAAUUUUAUGUUUUUAAAAAUCAAUUUGCAAGAAAGACUUUCUUCAGUAGUGUAUAAAACAUACCUAAUUAUACUGCAUUAUAGUGAAAAUGGUUACACAUUUGAGAUGUUUUAUUACCAUAUAUGUAUAUAUAGCUUUAUUUUAUGAAUUUCAUAUGCAAUUUUAUUGUGGGUGAAAAUGUGCAAUAAAUUAGAUGUUGUACAGUAUAUGUUCAUUUAGUAUCUAUCAGAAACAUGGCUAUCGAUUGUGGCUUUGUCAGCUAUCUGAAGGGCGUUCAAAGACAUUCAAACAUUUUAAAAUAAAAUAUUCAUAUAACAGUGAUGUUCAUUUUGUUUUGCUUCUAGGGACUUACAUGUUUGGAAAAUGUUUUUGAAAUCAAGACAAACUGAGUUCGAUUGUUUUGCAAAUAAACAGAUUUGAAUCCUUGACAUUUUUUUUGCAAAUUCUAAUGCAUUUAAUUGAGCUAUUAAGUUUUUUUCGGGUAUUUAAAAGGCUAUGUUGGUAAUAUACACUUUGUGUUUAGGUUUCGAAAAAUGCUCAUAUCUUCUAUGUCGCUUCAGAUAGCAAUUUCAUAUUUGGCAUGCAUGUGUAUAUGUAUAAGGCCUUUCCAUAUGCACACACAUUUUGACCCCUGUGACCUUGACCUUAAGGUCCGCGUUUAGGUUUCGAAAUCUGCGUUUAGGUUUUGAAGAAAGCUCGUAACUUCUAUCAAGCGUUUAUAGGGGGCAUAAGUCAUCCUAUGGUGAAAGCUCUUGUUUGUCAUUAUCAUUGAUGAUUAAAGAUCCAUCAACAUACCUUUUUUUAAAGUGUUAUUUUUCGUAUUUGAAUAUAAUUUAUGCAAUGUAUAAGCUUACCUCUGAAAUGCAGGUUGAGCUUAUGUUUCCAAAUUCUGUCCAUGAUCAAGACUUCAGUCCUUUGUCAAUGUUUCAUUCAAAUCACAUCUUUUGCUAAACUGCUUGGCUGAUUUAGCAAAACAUUAUAAGAAUGAUCUGUUGACGACCUUCUGUCAAAUUUGUUCAAAGCGUUUUGGUCUGUUGCAUGUGGUCUCCAUACAGUUGAAAACAUAUUUUAAACAUGAAAACGUCAAAAAUCUUCACUAAAAUCGGAUGGUUCAGUUGUUUAAUAUUUUGUGUGUAAAAUAAUAUUUGGGUUCUCUAUUAAUUUUGCAUAAAUCAUACCCCUGAUUUGAUGGGUAACAUCUUAUAGUGGUCCUCUACUAAGUUGUUUUCAAAUCAUGCAGUCAGUGGUAAAAACAGUCAAGGCCCUAGAAGUCACAUGAUUUAUAUAUAGACUCAUAUGGUCAAUAACUACUUCCCUUAAACCAAACCAGGGGAUUAAUUUGUGUUGUGUAACAUUGUAUUAGUGGUCCUCUACAAAGGACCACUUAACAUGCCCCUGGCAUCAAAACUGGCCAUGACCCAGGGGUCAAAUGGUUUUUGUAGAACUAUAAAGUGAACAAUUUGUAAAAUUUUCUAAUAAACAACAAGGCAAAAAAGUAAUAUUUAUCAUGUUACAUCAUAUAGUGGGUCUCUACUUAAUGAUGAAACCCCAAAGCAUUCAGUAUGUGACAUCCAGCAUCUGGGUUUAAAACUCGCCAUGCCAUGCUCUUGUUAUUAAUCUUUUACCAACUUGUUUUUGGCUCAUCUAAGCACAAUGUCCUCAUGGUGAGCUUUUGUGAUAGCCAAUUGUCCGUCGUCCGUCUUGCGGCAUAAACAUUUGCCUUGUUAACAUUCUAGAGGCAACAUUUAUAGUCUAAUCUUCAUGAAAUUUGGUCAGAAUUUCUUGAAAAACAUGACCACCAGAGGGCAGGUCAGUUUUCCUUAUAUGGCUUAAGAAAAACCUUGUUAACACUCUAGAGGCCACAUUAUCAUCCAAUCAUCGUUAAAGUCAUUUAUUUUCUGAUUAUCAUCAAACUGGUCAAUGAUAUCUUCAACGAGUUCGAAAAUGAUUCCAGUUACUUGAAAAACAUGUAAGCGAGGAGGUGGGGCAUUUUUUCUUCAGAUCUUCAUGAAACUUGGUCAGAAGAUUUUUCCCAAUGAUAUCUUGGACAAAUUCCAAAAUGAUUGUGGUUGAUUGGAAAACAUGGCUGCCAGGGGCAGGGCAUUUUCCUUAUAUGGCUAUAUUAAAAACUUGUUAACAUUUGUCACAUUUAUUGUCCAAUCUUCAUGAAAGUUUGUCAGAACAUUUGAUUUCUAAUGAUAUCAUAGAUGUGUUUAAAAAUGUGUUCAGUCUGUUGAAAAACAUGGCAGCCAUGGGGUGGGGAAUCUAUUCUUAUAUGGAUAUUGUAAAACCUAAUUGUUAGCACUCUUAAAGUUACAUGUAUAGUUCACUCUUCAUUAAACUUGGUCAAAACAUUAAAACAUUAAAACAAAUUUUGUUCUAAUGAUAUCUUGGGCUUCAUAGAACAGUUCAGCUCCUUUGUAUUUCAGGUGAGCAACUUUGGGCCUUUCAAGGUAACAUAAAUACUCAAUAUUAGCAAAUAUUUUGCAAAAUAUUUCUUAACAUAAAGUAAACCCAUACAAAAACAAUGUUCCUUAUAGCAAUAGACAAACUUUCAACGCUAGAUGUGGUAUUUAAACAUAGAUUUUACAAGAUAAAAAAUGCUUGUUUUCAUUUUUUGUGCAACAAUAUAUUCCAUGUGAAUUUCCCGCCACCAUAUCUGAACAUUUACGAGCAAAUGUGGGAGACUGGCUUCGGGCAGCGUCGGAAGAACGACAUAUUCAUGAGGACUACGUCCUGCGUCCCAAGCUGCAGGAUUGCUCAUAAAUGUUCCAAUAGCAUAACCGGAAAUUCACAUGGAAUAUAUUGUGAUACAAAAAUUAAAAAAGCAUUUUGUAUCGAAUUAAAUCUGUUAACAGACCACAUCUAGCUUUGAAAUUUUGGCUAUUGCUAAAAUGAACAUUGAUUUUUGUAUAUGUUGACUUUAUUUUUCGAAAAAUUGUACGAAAUAUUUAUUGAUUUUGAGUGUUUAUGGGCUUUUAAAGAUUUGCCAUAGAAAGACUUUAAAAGGCUGUAAGAUGCUUUUAAGCAUUUUACUUGUUAUCAUCACUGCAGUUUUCAUCCAUUUAAAUGCAGCUAUUGUCAAACUAAUGGUUCAUAAUGCAGUAUUGGUUAAAAACAGAAGUACAUCUGACAUCAACUUUGAUGCUCUUAUUAUUAUUUUUGAAUUCAAAAUAUAGUCAUCUUAUGUAAUUGGAUGCUGGUCUGUUAGUUUAUAGUUUUUAUUAAGACAAUAAUAAAUGACUGCCUUGGAAUAUAAUAAAUUUGCAUUGUUAAAUAAAUAUUGACUUGCGUUUGUAUUUUUCUUACAUAACAGGUUAGUAUUACACAUUUAUACAUUAUCAAAAUAUCCCUAUUUUUUAAUAUGGAAAGAGUUGGUUAUACCCUCAAAAUAAUACAUCAAUAAAUAUGUUGAUAUCAAUAGUUUUAAUAACCAUUCAAACACGGCCACCUUUUUGCUAACAACAUCUAGAUGUAAAGAUUUGUGCGACUAACAUUUAGAACAGUUUGAAUCAUUAUUUCAGAUUUGUCGUUAAAACGAAUUAUUAUAAAAUAACAAGCUUGCUUCUUGUGUCAAUAAUUUGAGGGCUAUAAUCGUUUUCAGAAAUGUGUCAACAUGUUCUUGUUUUCACUUUGUAGCAUUUAGUUUCUUUUUUUCAUAUCUAAGGCUACACCAUCCACAUUUCUGUUGGAUAUCUAUGGAUUAUGCUGAUGUUGUUUCUGAGAAUGGCAUUUCAAUUAAUAUUUGUCAACUUGCAUUAAGUCAGUCUUAGACAAAAUAAAGAAAUUUGAAAUAUGUUUAUUGUAUUUUUCUUAUAUAUCUUUCCUGACUUGUUCCCUCCAACAUCAACAUGUUACAUAUACAAACUGGGUAUAUUACACAUACUUCACAGUUUUAUUGAAUAUGGCAACAUCAUAAGCAACUAGGCUUUGUUAGAAAAGAUCACUGAUUUAAGAUAAUUUGGAUUUAAUUGUGGGCUUUAUGAAGAUAAAAAGUGACAUUGAAUGUGCGACCUUAGCAAAUACAAAUACUUGUAUAUAUUACAAAAAAUGCAAAUGUAUAAUAUUACAAAGAUCAAUGGGGUGGCAUGAAACUAUCUGACAAAGAUCAAUGGGGUGGCAUGAAACUAUCUGACAAAGAUCAAUGGGGUGGCAUGAAACUAUCUGACAAAGAUCAAUGGGGUGACAUGAAACUAUCUGACAAAGAUCAAUGGGGUGGCAUGAAACUAUCUGACAAAGAUCAAUCGAGUGGCAUGAAACUAUCUGUAAAACAUUAACGCCUGAAUAUUGAAAACAUUUAACAUAGUUUUAUAUAGGUAAUACCUUAUAAAAAAUAUUGCCUAAAACCACAAAGCCAAAUGCUAUCAUAUUUAGCAACAUCUACAGGUGCUUUACAAAGUUUGUUAAAAUUAUGCCACAA